CAUAUAACCCGCCUAAAGAUUGCUGGACAAAAAUAAUUCUUUGAGAGUCAUAAAGGUAAUGGUGUCCUGCAGAAGUGCAAAUAAUUUGUAACUGUAAUCCAAACUUUAAAUGACUUAAAAUUUUCCCACUUUUAUCGUCUAGUUGCUGAAGAUAAUGUUUCUGGCGAAUCCAGGUUUUAGAGCAAUCAACCAUACUUGAAACAUUAUAAGGCACCAAAAAAACUUUAAUGACUAAACCGUUAGUUUGUCGAAGUAUUAGUUGUAAUUGCCCAACUGAUGGAAUUCUAUAUCCGAAUGGAUAGCCUUUAUUCAUGACU